AAUACGUAGGGUGCGAGCGUUGUCCGGAAUUAUUGGGCGUAAAGGGCUCGUAGGCGGUUUGUCGCGUCGGGAGUGAAAAUCCAGGGCUUAACUCUGGACUGGCUUCCGAUACGGGCAGACUAGAGGUAUGCAGGGGAGAACGGAAUUCCUGGUGUAGCGGUGAAAUGCGCAGAUAUCAGGAGGAACACCGGUGGCGAAGGCGGUUCUCUGGGCAUUACCUGACGCUGAGGAGCGAAAGUGUGGGGAGCGAACA
rnacentral:rRNA from 1 species